ACUAGCUAAAUUGUGUCAAGUUUGAUAGACUAGGAGAAAGAGAAGUCCAGUCUUUUCCCCAGCCCCAUUCCCUUAUUCUUCCCUCUAGCACUGUGGCAACUGCAUCAAGUAGAACACGGGGUGGGGUCAACCCACCACUCCCAAACAUGCUCCGGCUGCUGUGUCCCAAAGCUGAGAGCUGCCUUCAGGUCAUGGGGAAGAGGUAAGGAACACUUUCCCAUGCGAAGAAAAUGCCAAAGAACCUUGAUCUUUAAGAAGAAGACUCCAGUUCAUUUGACCAGGGGAAUAUUCAUUCACUGACAUUCUGUCCCUCCCAGUCACGGCUUCAAACUGCCAUUGAAUCCAUUCUCCUGAAUUAACAGAAAUCACAAAUACCAUUUUUUUCCCUAUGAAAAGCUGUCAGCUUAUGGAUAAUCCUUAGUUGCCCCAUGCAUUCUUCAUAUGCAGCUCUUUCAUGUUAAGAAGGACACAUUAAAGGCAAGGAGGAGGAUGAGCUGAUUCACCUCUUGGAAAUGAGGGAAAUCGGCUGGCUGGCAAUUGCUCUUGCCUUGAUAGGGAGUUAAAUUGGACCCUCCAUGGACCCUCCUGUCUCUAAUCAGGAAAUGAUGGCAGGUCAACAGCAGCACCGAUCCAUCACAACCCAUUUCAAAGUUCUCUGUGUGGAGGCAGAGAACGAAACCUCGCACAGCCACUCACUGAUCAAAAUUGUCCCGGGAGAUAAAUUUCUACUUCUCAUGAGCCUGUUCUGCAGGGGCAAAGAUUUGGUUUUCCCAUUCUCCACUGCAUCCAAGACUGCAGCCUAUGGAACUAAAUGAGAGCCAUGGACAAUGAGACCUGCUCUUACAUCUGCACAGUCAUGUCCCAAUACCCCUUUCUUGGUCAUUCGACUGUGGGGUGGAAUGUUGAGACACAAGAUGGAAACUUAAGACACAAUAUGCAGAUAAAUAUGAAAUAGAAAUUCCCAGAAAUGCUCACAUGCUGAGCCCUCGCACCCACGUAUCACACAUUUCAGCAAAGAUUAAAAACGGAAGAUGAAUUACUACACUAAUCAAGUUAUAAUUACAGCUUAUGCAUACAGUGGUGCUUGAGAGAAGGCGAAGAGGCUGACAUGUGCUGAGCGGGAACGGAACAGGCACCAACUGUUGUAUGAGUCAUGGAACUUACAAAUGACUAAGUGGAGACAGAAGCCCAGCUGCAUUUCAAGAAAAAGGGCAUGAGAAGGGAUGAUGAUGGUGGUGAUGAUGGUGAUGAUGAGAACAACAGCAACAACAACAACACUCCACCCAUCUGACUGAGUUUCCUCAGCCACUUUGGGUGGCUUACAGCACAUAUAAAAACAUAGUAAAAUGUCAAACAUUAAAAACUUCCCUAUAUAGGGCUGCUUCCAGA